rnacentral:sRNA from 2 species
ACUCGUGCCCGUCUUUGGGGAGUAGCCUUCCUUCCGCAAUGGGAGGAGGACGCGUCAACAUACUCGGCGGGUGCCGUGGCGCGUUCGACCGGUCCGGUUUGGCGAGACCAUGGGUGCAUCUCGUCGUUCACGGUCGGACGGCGCGGGACAGCACCCUGGUUCGCAGACGUCCG